rnacentral:rRNA from 1 species
AUUGAACGCUGGCGGCAGGCCUAACACAUGCAAGUCGAGCGGAGCGGCGGACGGGCGGGUAAUUGCUAGGUAUCUGGCUGGUUGUGGGGUCUAACGUCCUGAAAGGGGCGCUAAUCUCGUAAACUCUCACAUGAUUCUAGGUGGGAUUAGCUAGUUGGUGGGGUAAAGGCCUACCAAGGCGACGAUCCGUAACUGGUCUGAGAGGAUGAUCAGUCACACUGGAACUGAGACACGGUCCAGACUCCUACGGGAGGCAGCAGUGGGGAAUAUUGGACAAUGGGCGAAAGCCUGAUCCAGCCAUGCCGCGUGUGUGAAGAAGGUCUUCGGAUUGUAAAGCACUUUAAGUUGGGAGGCGUUACCAACAGAAUAAGCACCGGCUAACUUCGUGCCAGCAGCCGCGGUAAUAC